AUGUGCAGUAAGUGUGGGAUUCAGAACAGCCGUUCGUCAUCUCCAGUGUGGGUUUGUAGGAUCUGCAGUGAACAUCAAGAGAUGUUGAAGCGUUCUGGAGCAUGGUUCUUUAAGGGACAACCCCAGCAAGUCCUCCCUGCUCCCCUGCCCAUCUCCAGGCCCAGAGGGACAGGUACAGAGAGCCCCCGUACCCAGACCCCUACCCAUGCCCAUCACCAGCCCAGUGCCCAGCCCAGCUACCAGUCAGACCCUGGUGCAGAGGACUACACAGAGCGGCAGGAGCAGCAGGAUAACUCCUACUCCAACAUACAAAACCAAAAGCCCACUGAUGAGCCCCCAUACUCCAGU
ensembl:lncRNA